AGAAUUUCUGUAGAAAAAGAAAUUAAAUGUUUUUAUAAUGAAAGAAGCACUGCAAGAGUGCUAGUCAGACUCCAGAGGACUGGCUCACACAAUUAAGAUACUUUUUUCUUCUGCAGCACCUCUCUCAGUGCGUUGGCACUGCUGCUGCUCUCAAGUAUAUCUGGAUUUCUUUAACAACCACUUGAACUUCCUGCAGUACUUUGUUCCAUAUCCACCACUUGCUCUGAAAGGCAUCAAUCACACACCAGUUCUGAUGCUCCUUCUUAUAUGGUAACAUGGGAAUCACUGCCUAUGAAGGGACUGGCGUGUCUUGAAAAAAGCCCCGAAACCCAAACAAGACUCUUACCCGGUUGUAUUACACACGUGAUUCAUCAGAGCCACAUCUAGAGCCUGGACGGCCAGUUCAUCAGGCGUGGAGGAAAAAGACGGUCAAGAACGUCCCUUUCUUCUACUUGAAUAUAAAUUGCAACAUCAGGACAGAGUCCUCGUUCUGACAA